rnacentral:rRNA from 1 species
UACGUAGGGUGCGAGCGUUAAUCGGAAUUACUGGGCGUAAGCGUGCGCAGGCGGUUCGCCAAGUCAGGUGUGAAAUCCCCGGGCUUAACCUGGGAAUUGCGCUUGAAACUAGCGGGCUUGAGUGUGGCAGAGGGGGGUGGAAUUCCACGUGUAGCAGUGAAAUGCGUAGAGAUGUGGAGGAACACCGAUGGCGAAGGCAGCCCCCUGGGUCAACACUGACGCUCAUGCACGAAAGCGUGGGGAGCAAACAGG